rnacentral:rRNA from 1 species
AGUGAACGCUGGCGGCAGGCCUAAUACAUGCAAGUCGAACGGCAGCACAGCAGAGCUUGCUCUGUGGGUGGCGAGUGGCGGACGGGUGAGGAAUACAUGGGAAUCUGCCCAGUCGUGGGGGAUAACGUAUGGAAACGUACGCUAAUACCGCAUGCGCCCUACGGGGGAAAGCCGGGGACCGCAAGGCCUGGCGCGAUUGGAUGAGCCCAUGUUCGAUUAGCUAGUUGGCGGGGUAAAGGCCCACCAAGGCGACGAUCGAUAGCUGGUCUGAGAGGAUGAUCAGCCACACUGGAACUGAGACACGGUCCAGACUCCUACGGGAGGCAGCAGUAGGGAAUAUUGGACAAUGGGGGCAACCCUGAUCCAGCCAUGCCGCGUGAGUGAAGAAGGCCCUCGGGUUGUAAAGCUCUUUUGUCCGGAAGAAAGCAUCUGGUUAAUACCCGGGU